GGAAGGGAAGGAGGAUUUAUGCUGAUGACUGACCCGAGUUCCAGAGGGCAGGUGAAAGGGUUUCAGAGAUGGGGAGAGGGGCCCAAUGAGGUCAGAAAAUAACGUGGUGGUUAGACUCCCAGGGACGAAAGAUGACCCGUGAAUGCUGAGUCUUGUGGGGAUGGGCAUCGGUGCGGAUAAGGGACACGAGGGGUUAGUCUUGAUGGUCACAAGGCAGGUAGCAAGGGAUCUGGGGGACUUGAUAGGAGUUGGACAGGUUCGGGGGCUGCCCCCUGAUGGCUGUUGGGAGAGGUGUGGGGUCUGGCACAGGGGUGGUCUACCCUGAGCUGGUCCCUCUCUAGGGCCCUAUUUAAUCCACACAACACUGUGAAGUGAGUACUGUUAUUAUUCCAAUUUUACAAAAGAAGAUAUAUUCAAAAAGCAAGGAGGAUGAAAAGCAACAGGACUUGGUGAACAAAGGCCUUAAAUUGCAGGUUGAAUCUGGUCUUAAUCACCAGAAGGGAGUUGAGAAGGGAGGCUACUUGGGUGUGAAAGUGGAGGGCAGAAUAGACUGGGAAGUUGAUUCCUGUUUAACAGGUUUUGAGUUGAAGGUGCAGGCAGAGGGAAUUGGAAAUGAGUUGAAGAUGACUGGAAACAUAGAAGCAGGCUUGACUGAUGUGUCAGAGCAGGCGAGGUUGAUCUGGAAGUCAGCAGUCCAAGCCAGAGCACACCUUUCCAUCCCAGAUCUUCCCUGGGUAGGGGUCUUACGACCACAGGGGAAACAUUUGUUUUCUAGGGGCGAGAAACAGGAGGAGAUCAGAAGUGGAUUUCGAUUUAGGAACUUGAUAAAAUCCCAGCUGUUGCCCUCAAACUACCCUUGGUAGUUUGCUCUCAACUUCUUGCCCUCAACUUCUCAUGCCAGCUUCUCACUUGGCGUGAUCUGAAGGAUCUUCUCUCAAUUUUAUUGCUGGUGUAAAGCCGAUGCUUUUGAAAUAUUGCUUGAACAGUGACCUCUAGUGUUAUAAAGAGAUCUCUGCUAACCGAUGAGGCAGUCUAAAAGUGAAAAUUCCCUUAAGAGUCAUUGCAUAGAUUCAUAUUGCCAGGAUGUACCUUAAUAAAUUAUUCAGUCCAUCUCUCUCCCUUUAGGGAGGACAUCACUUGAACAAUUCCAGGUCACUUCCCUUCAAGGCAGAUGUAAUGGAGCUUGAGAAAGUUCAGAGAAUGGCAACUAGAGUAAACAAGGAGAGAAAUGUACUUUUCUGUGAGAAUGGAUUUUUUUUUAGAGAUGAAGAAGAAUAUACUACAGACUAGAAAGUUGACACGUAUGAAACACUGAACUAACAGAACAGAUCUCCAAGUGUGAGAUCUCUUUGAAACCAUGAAGAGAGGACUUUAGUAUAAUACUGGCUACCACUUUUGAGUAUUUGCUCUGUGCCAGGUAUGCUUUCAACCACCCUUGAGGUAAGAACCAUUAUGAUCUCCAUUUUACAGAUGGAUCCACGAUGAUACAUACACGUGAAGCCCUCCUAUACCGGGCCAGGCCCUUACCUGGGCCUCCGUAAUUCCAGGGGCCGGAGUCCAAAAUGGAGGUUGUGGGCAGGGUCAUGCUCCGUCUGAAGGCUCCGAGAGACAAAACUUUUCUUGUGUCUUCCAACUUCUGGUGGCUCCUGGCAUUCCGUGGCUUGUGGCAGCAUCACCUCAAUCUCUGCCUCUGUCUUGUGACCUCUCCUCUUUUCAUUUUUAUUAUUUUAGGGGUGAAUUUUUUUCUUCCAGUUUUGCUGAGAUAUAAUUGACACUGUGUAAGUUACAGCACCCUGAUUUGACUUACAUGCAUCGUGGAAUGCUGACCACAAUAAAGUCAGUGAACAUGCAUCAUCUCGUACGGAUACAAAAUUAAGAAAAAGAAAAAAAAAACCUUUUUUCCUUGUGAUAAGAACUCUUAAGGAUUUAUUCUUUUAACUUUCACAUAUAACAUAUAGCAGUGUUAGUUAUAUUUAUCAUGUUGCAUUACAUCCUUAGUAUUUAUUUACCUUAUAACUGGAGGUUCACACCUUCUGACUGACUUCAUCCAACUCUCCCUCCCCCUACUCCCCACCUCUGGUAAACACACAUUUGAUCUCUUUUUCUAUGACUUUUUGUCUGUUUGUUUGUUGAGGUGUAAUUGACCUACAGCACUGUGUCAGUUCCUGGCACAGUCUUUCCUCUUCUUAUAAGAACACUGGUCACUGAAUUCAGGGCCUGCCCUAAAUCCAGCCUGAUUUCAUUUCAAGAUCCUUAACUAAUUACGUCUGCAAAGACCCUCUUUCCAAAUAAGUCCACAUUCUGAAGUUCUGGGUGGAUAUGAAUUUUGGGGGGGGUCAUUAUUCGACCCACUACAAUGUGUGACCUAUUGCAGGAAAUGGACAAAAGGGGGAGACUAUGCAUUUAUAAGACAGGAAAUUCUUUUACUCUUUGUGAUUAACUUGUUAUUCUUACUAUAGCAAAUUAUCUCACGAUUGUUGACAAUUAAAAGCAAACUUGACCUUUACCUAUAUCGUGUAGGACAGUGGUUCCCAGAUGCUGGAUGAUAGCACAGCUCUGGUCCAAGGGAAGUUUUCACAGGUCAAGGCAUCUUUCCCUAUAAACCCUGCAGGCCCUGAGUUGAGGCCCCGGGGCCUCCAGCUGCCCAGAAUCACUGAGUAGGAGUUUCUUAUAGGCACCUGGGUUCUUCAGGGCCCAGCAGAGAAUGAGUGUGGCAUCAGCGCCGUCAGUGAACUUGCUUCAGUUUGCACAGAAUAUUCCAAAUUAAGGGAAAUGCCAUGAAGAGUGUCACUUCCGUUUUUGUUAACAAAUCUAUGAGAAACAAAGUUUAAUAGUGAAAGAUAAAGGCAAAAUAUGAGAAUAAAUUGAAUAUUUACGCUCUACUUCAUGAUAUCUCAUUGAAUGUAUAACCACAAGCUGAUAAAUGUGUAUCAGACUAACAAUUAUGUAAAUGUAACAUUGUAAAACAAAAUUUCAUAUUGCAAUUCUUCUCAACUCAAACACUAUGUGUAUAUUUGUAAAAUUGUAUUUCAUCUGUGUUUGUUGUCAGGCUAUACCAACUGACCUUUAUGCUAUGUCCUUUUUACUUUCUGUAUGUCAAAUUAGUAUUUUUUUAAUGAAAUAAUAGCAAAAAUAGAUUUCUACCUCACAAAAUUUAAAGAGGGCAACUUUUUUUUUUUUUUUUUUUUGCGGUACGCGGGCCUCUCACUGUUGUGGCCUCUCCCGUCGUGGAGCACAGGCUCU